rnacentral:lncRNA from 1 species
GACUCAUUUAGCCGACUGUCGAGUCCAAGAGCACGAGCGUCAGCCAAACAGCCGAACAUCAAGCGUGGCCGCCAUGCUAUUCCAUUGGAUCACAUUAAGUCUCGUCAUCUAGAAACCAUAUCCUGGGCUGUCAGCUGCGCACCAUGAUAAGAAACUACGAAGUUAUUAAUUACACUCAUGAGGUCAUUAAUUAUGCCCCAUAUGCAUUAAGGUACACCACCGUAGCCACCUGCGCGCC